rnacentral:rRNA from 1 species
GGAAUCUUCCACAAUGGGCGCAAGCCUGAUGGAGCAACACCGCGUGAGUGAAGAAGGGUUUCGGCUCGUAAAACUCUGUUGUUGAAGAAGAACGUGCAUGAGAGUAACUGUUCAUGCAGUGACGGUAUUCAACCAGGAAGUCACGGCUAACUACGUGCUAG